CAGUAGGUAGCCAAAUCUAUUCGAUGCUCAUGGACCCUGUGCAUAUGUUCCUCCAAUUCUCCUUUAAUGGACCAUCACCUCAACAAAUUGUUGUUUUCGUUUCACUCUCUUUGCGAUUACUUUUAUUCCAUCAACCUGUAGCACCACUGCUGGAAAAUACUGGUCAAACCAAUUAAACCUCACUUGAAUUAAGCAUAUAGCUCCAUGUGCC
rnacentral:lncRNA from 1 species